GACGAACGCUGGCGGCGUGCUUAACACAUGCAAGUCGAACGGAAAGGCCCUGCUUUUGUGGGGUGCUCGAGUGGCGAACGGGUGAGUAACACGUGAGUAACCUGCCCUUGACUUUGGGAUAACUUCAGGAAACUGGGGCUAAUACCGGAUAGGAGCUCCUGCUGCAUGGUGGGGGUUGGAAAGUUUCGGCGGUUGGGGAUGGACUCGCGGCUUAUCAGCUUGUUGGUGGGGUAGUGGCUUACCAAGGCUUUGACGGGUAGCCGGCCUGAGAGGGUGACCGGCCACAUUGGGACUGAGAUACGGCCCAGACUCCUACGGGAGGCAGCGGUGGGGAAUAUUGCACAGUGGGCGGGAGCCUGAUGCAGCAGCGCCGCGUUCGGGAUGACGGCCUUCGGGUUGUAAACCGCUUUCGCCUGUGACGAAGCGUGAGUGACGGUAAUGGGUAAAGAAGCACCGGCUAACUACGUG
rnacentral:rRNA from 1 species